rnacentral:rRNA from 1 species
AUGAACGCUGGCGGCGUGCCUAAUACAUGCAGGUCGAGCGAACGGACGAGAAGCUUGCUUCUCUGAUGUUAGCGGCGGACGGGUGAGUAACACGUGGAUAACCUACCUAUAAGACUGGGAUAACUUCGGGAAACCGGAGCAAAUACCGGAUAAUAUUUUGAACCGCAUGGUUCAAAAGUGAAAGACGGUCUUGCUGUCACUUAUAGAUGGAUCCGCGCUGCAUUAGCUAGUUGGUAAGGUAACGGCUUACCAAGGCAACGAUGCAUAGCCGACCUGAGAGGGUGAUCGGCCACACUGGAACUGAGACACGGUCCAGACUCCUACGGGAGGCAGCAGUAGGGAAUCUUCCGCAAUGGGCGAAAGCCUGACGGAGCAACGCCGCGUGAGUGAUGAAGGUCUUCGGAUCGUAAAACUCUGUUAUUAGGGAAGAACAUAUGUGUAAGUAACUGUGCACAUCUUGACGGUACCUAAUCAGAAAGCCACGGCUAACUACGUG